rnacentral:ncRNA from 1 species
AAACUCUGGAGAGUUCCUGCCCUCGGGGCAGGACACCCAAGGGGAAGCUUUCCGCAGGGAAGUCAUCUCUCAGGUUAAAAGGACAGGGUAUGCCAG